rnacentral:rRNA from 1 species
AUUGAACGCUGGCGGCAGGCCUAACACGUGCAAGUCGAGCGGAUGAAGGGAGCUUGCUCCUGGAUUCAGCGGCGGACGGGUGAGUAAUGCCUAGGAAUCUGCCUGGUAGUGGGGGAUAACGUCCGGAAACGGGCGCUAAUACCGCAUACGUCCUGAGGGAGAAAGUGGGGGAUCUUCGGACCUCACGCUAUCAGAUGAGCCUAGGUCGGAUUAGCUAGUUGGUGGGGUAAAGGCCUACCAAGGCGACGAUCCGUAACUGGUCUGAGAGGAUGAUCAGUCACACUGGAACUGAGACACGGUCCAGACUCCUACGGGAGGCAGCAGUGGGGAAUAUUGGACAAUGGGCGAAGGCCUGAUCCAGCCAUGCCGCGUGUGUGAAGAAGGUCUUCGGAUUGUAAAGCACUUUAAGUUGGGAGGAAGGGCAGUAAGUUAAUACCUUGCUGUUUUGACGUUACCAACAGAAUAAGCACCGGCUAACUUCGUG